CCUACGGGUGACUGCAGUGGGGAAUAUUGGUCAAUGGGCGCGAGCCUGAACCAGCCAAGUAGCGUGAAGGAUGACUGCCCUACGGGUUGUAAACUUCUUUUAUAAAGGAAUAAAGUGAGGCACGUGUGCCUUUUUGUAUGUACUUUAUGAAUAAGGAUCGGCUAACUCCGUGCCAGCAGCCGCGGUAAUACGGAGGGUCCGAGCGUUAUCCGGAUUUAUUGGGUUUAAAGGGAGCGUAGAUGGGUUGUUAAGUCAGUUGUGAAAGUUUGCGGCUCAACCGUAAAAUUGCAAUUGAUACUGGCAGGCUGGAGUACAGUUGAGGUAGGCGGAAUUCGUGGUGUAGCGGUGAAAUGCUUAGAUAUCACGAAGAACUCCGAUGGCGAAGGCAGCUUACUAAACUGCGACUGACAUUGAUGCUCGAAAGUGUGGGUAUCAAACAGGAUUAGAUACCCCGGUAGUC
rnacentral:rRNA from 1 species